GGGGGGUUAGCUUAGUUGGUUAAAGCAGCCGGCUCAUAACUGGCGGACCGUAGGUUCAAGUCCUACACCCCCUACCA
rnacentral:tRNA from 1 species